GCCUUUUUUUUUUUUUUUUUUUUUUUUUUUGCGUUUUUUUUUUUUUUUUUUUUUUUUUUUUUUUUUUUUUUUUUUUUUUUUUGCGUCAAACCCUGUCUUUUUUUUUUUUUUUUUUUUUUUUUUUUUUUUUUUUUUUUUGCGGUACGCGGGCCUCUCACUGUUGUGGUCUCUCCCGUUGCGGAGCACAGGCUCGGGAUGCGCCGGCUCAGCGGCCAUGGCUCACGGGCCCAGCCGCUCCGCGGCAUGUGGGAUCUUCCCGGACCGGGGCACUAACCCGUGUCCCCUGCAUCGGCAGGUGGACUCUCAACCACUGCACCAACAGGGAA